rnacentral:lncRNA from 1 species
UGUAUUUUCCACUUCGUAAUAUCAAUAUUUGGAAAUAGGGAAUCUGGAACACAUUGAUAUGGCCAUCUUUGUCUAACUCGUGGGUGGAAUGAUCGAGUUGUAGAGCAUGGCAGAUUAUUGGAAAUCCCAACCACGCAAGUUCUGUGAAUUUUGUCAGUGUUGGUUUGGAGAUAAUAAAGCUGUGAG